AAAUUGAAGAGUUUGAUCAUGGCUCAGAUUGAACGCUGGCGGCAGGCCUAACACAUGCAAGUCGAACGGUAACAGGAAGCAGCUUGCUGCUUCGCUGACGAGUGGCGGACGGGUGAGUAAUGUCUGGGAAACUGCCUGAUGGAGGGGGAUAACUACUGGAAACGGUGGCUAAUACCGCAUAACGUCGCAAGACCAAAGAGGGGGACCUUCGGGCCUCUUGCCAUCAGAUGUGCCCAGAUGGGAUUAGCUUGUUGGUGAGGUAACGGCUCACCAAGGCGACGAUCCCUAGCUGGUCUG
rnacentral:rRNA from 4 species